rnacentral:misc_RNA from 1 species
CACAGCUUUUAACAUAAUGUUACUUAGGCCACAGUUUCCCUCUACUCAUCUUGUUAUACAAUCGGCCUUGCUACGCUACAGGGAACAACCUGACGGCGUCCCAAGAGACCCUGAUGAUGCCACCAUUCCUCGCCUCCGCCUCCUGGAACGUCCACCCAAAUGCCUCCGAAGGGUGGGGGAGCUCCCUCCACUUCUCGGUCCUGAGCUCAGUGACAUCAACCACGCAAACGCGGCUCUCCGUUGUGCUCUUCCCUGGCGCUUGGAAGAUCUUGCCCCUGCCAACCUCCUUCCCAUCGCUGUCGACUAAUGAAACGAGGCGGCCGGGUUCCAACGAGAAGGAUCUCGUGAAUGGACGGACCAUCAUCGUCGUGUUCGGGGAUAGCUCUGCCUGCGACGUUUGCUCAGUGCAGUCCGGGCUCAACAGGCUACCACCUUUGGAUAGAACAGUCAU